rnacentral:tmRNA from 1 species
GUGUUUGACAUUUGUUUUAUACUUUUGUAUACUUACAAUGUAUAUUAUUUAUACUAUGGCAAUAAACUUACCGUGCAAUAGGUGUAUUGGACCCGAGGGCAGUACUCGGCGCCUCCACAAAUUAGGGGGGGUGUAUUAGGAUCGACAUGCAUAGUAAAGAUGGUGAUUUUGCUCGGUUAGACACCACCGAUAAGAGUUCAUAAUUUAAAAGCAAACGAUAAUUUUGCUGCAGAUAGUAAUGAACUUUCUCUUGCUGCUUAAUAUAGCACAAUCGGUUUAUUACUAAAGCACGGUUUGGGAAACACCGGGUAACAGAAGUUUCCCACA